CUGGCGGGAGUGCACUGCAAUGUUGGAGCUCGGUCUUUGAUUGAUCAUUUUUUUCAAGCUUCAUGUGGCAGCCUCCUAAUGUUAAGCGUUACCAAGCUCCUUGUGGCAGCCUAGUGAUGGAUUAUGAAUGUGGCAGAUAAAGAAUGCAGUUUGGAACUAGCUAGCAGAGCCAGUUGAGUACAUACUAGAUGACCAGUGGAAUAAGGCCAAGGCAAAGCUGCAGCCAACUUCAAGGAAGCAACAAAGGCUGAAGUUUACUACAUACCACUGCACCCAAAAGGCCAAACCACAGAAAGCUUGGAAAACAACGAGAGGUCGUUGAACAGAGGCCCAUGAUAGAGGGCUUCAAAAACCGGUGGCCUGCCCUGUUCCAGCAGAGUGAAAUUAAUGAGGAGUUCUUGUGGAUCACUACAAAGCCACUGCAGUCAAAGUUUGUGUCACAACUGGACCACGUUUUACUCAAGCUGAUGCACAUCUUCAAAAGCAAAGGAGGAGUGAAGGGGCAACGAAUCAAAGAAGUUCUGGCACACAUAGAUUUGUGUGACGACAUUGACAUCAGGAGGGAGUGCAUCCUGAGAAAACUUGUUAUCUACCUCAAUGAAGAUCCAGACACUUUCUUCAAGGAAUAUCUGGUAAGUUAAAGGCCUACUGAAAUGUUUUUUUUUUAUUUAAACGGGGAUAGCACAUCUAUUCUAUGUGUCAUACUUGAUCAUUUCGCGAUAUUGCCAUAUUUUUGCUGAAAGGAUUUAGUAUAGAACAACGACAAUAAAGAUUGCAACUUUUGGUAUCUGAUAAAAAAAAGGCUUGCCCCUACCGGAAGUAGCGUGAC